rnacentral:tRNA from 1 species
AGCGGGAUGGAGCAGAUGGUCAGCUCGGGAGUCUCAUAAUCUCCAGGUCGGCGGUUCGAGUCCGCCUCCCGCUA